rnacentral:rRNA from 1 species
UACGGAGGGAGCUAGCGUUGUUCGGAAUUACUGGGCGUAAAGCGCACGUAGGCGGCUUUUUAAGUCAGGGGUGAAAUCCCGGGGCUCAACCCCGGAACUGCCCUUGAAACUGGAGAGCUAGAAUCUUGGAGAGGCGAGUGGAAUUCCGAGUGUAGAGGUGAAAUUCGUAGAUAUCUGGAGGAAUACCGGUGGCGAAGGCGGCAUCCUGGACCGGCAUUGACGCUGAGGAGCGAAAGCUAGGGGAGCAAACGGG